rnacentral:rRNA from 1 species
GACGAACGCUGGCGGCGUGCUUAACACAUGCAAGUCGAACGGAAAGGCCCUGCUUGCAGGGUACUCGAGUGGCGAACGGGUGAGUAACACGUGGGUGAUCUGCCCUGCACUUCGGGAUAAGCCUGGGAAACUGGGUCUAAUACCGGAUAGGAGCCAUUUUUAGUGGGAUGGUUGGAAAGUUUUUUGGGUGUAGGAUGAGCUCGCGGCCUAUCGGCUUGUUGGUGGGGUAAUGGCCUACCAAGGCGGCGACGGGUAGCCGGCCUGAGAGAGUGGACGGCCACAUUGGGACUGAGAUACGGCCCAGACUCCUACGGGUGGCAGCAGGGGGGAAUAUUGCACAAUGGGCGCAAGCCUGAUGCAGCGACGCCGCGUGUGGGAUGACGGCCUUCGGGUUGUAGACUCCUUUCGCUAGGGACGAAGCUUUUUGUGACGGUACCUAGAUAAGAAGCACCGGCUAACUACGUG